rnacentral:rRNA from 1 species
UACGGAGGGAGCAAGCGUUACUCGGAAUUAUUGGGCGUAAAGCGCGUGUAGGCGGCUCGAUAAGUCUGCUGUGAAAGUCCAGGGCUCAACCCUGGAAUGCCGGUGGAUACUGUCGAGCUCGAGUCCGGAAGAGGCGAGUGGAAUUCCUGGUGUAGCGGUGAAAUGCGCAGAUAUCAGGAAGAACACCCGUGGCGAAAGCGGCUCUCUGGAACGGUACUGACGCUGAGACGCGAAAGCGUGGGGAGCGAACAGG